CAGCAGGCGCGAAAACUCUACAAUGCAGGCAACUGCGAUAGGGGGACAUCGAGUGGCAUCCACCUUGGGUGCCUGUCCCACCGUCUAAAAAACGGUGGUUAGCAAGGGCCGGGCAAGACCGGUGCCAGCCGCCGCGGUAAUACCGGCGGCUCGAGUGGUGGCCGAUAUUAUUGAGUCUAAAGGGUCCGUAGCCGGCUUUGCAAGUCCCCUGGGAAAUCCAGCGGCUUAACCGUUGGGCUUUCAUGGGAUACUACAUUGCUUGGGACUGGGAGAGGUAGGAGGUACUCGGGGGGUAGGGGUGAAAUCCUGUAAUCCCCCGGGGACCACCGGUGGCGAAGGCGUCCUACCAGAACAGGUCCGACGGUGAGGGACGAAAGCUAGGGGCACGGACCGGAUUAGAUACCCGGGUAGUCCUAGCCGUAAACGAUGCCCGCUAGGUGUCACGGCGGUCGUGAAUCGCCGUGGUGCCGUAGGGAAGCCGCGAAGCGGGCCACUUGGGAAGUACGGCCGCAAGGCUGAAACUUAAAGGAAUUGGCGGGGGAGCACAAGGGCGAUUCGCG
rnacentral:rRNA from 1 species